GUCAUGGUUACAUCUUGACUUUGCUACACUCAGAUCUUUUUGUUAGAACAGCGAUAGAACGAGAGCCGACAACAUCUGCAGCUGUGUGGCGCAGCCCGAUGCCCGUCUGAUCUGACUUGUUAUGGAUGGCUCUCCUCUCCACUUACAAGCAGGGAAGUGACUAAAAAUAAAAUCUUUGAUUGUGUUUGACACCCUGAAGCAUUGUUAGCUCUUUAUAUAUCUUAGUCUUCCUUUGACAAUUUACCCUGAGUCCCAUUUCUAAAAGUUUAAUUCCUGACGAAUUCAAAUUUGUCUUUGGAGGCAAAGGCUGGGGGUGGGGUGAGGGAGAAUAUUGCCCUUUGAAACAAAACCAUAAAAAGGAGGUACUUUGUGCAUCUUGGUGUGCUUGUGGGCCAGUGAUAAGCUCGUAUACUGCUAACUUUUCUGUUUUGCUGCCUCUUUGCAGCACAUUAAAGCCAAGCAAUAUGGCUAGGCGAUCGACCCUGAACCUCUCCUACAAUUUCUGCACAUUCCUUGUCUAUGUUUUUAUUCCCUGGGCCAAAUUCUCCAUUCAUUCUGGAAAGCGUUUACAUGCUCCCGUUGAAUGAGAGGGAGUUUUCUAGGCUCUCAUCAGAGAAUGCAAUUUAGGGCUGUCGUUCAGUUCUUAUGGAAGCCUGCCUGAAACAAUUGAUAUUUUAGAAAUAGUCUGUAGAUGUUCAGUCUCUCUCCUAGGUGCUACACUGCAUCACCAGAAAACUGCUCAAAGAGAUGCUCAUUAGCUCAGCCUCUCCCAGCGAACACUCUUUGAUUAGCUAUGUUUCUGUGCUCGGUCUUUCACGUUUUGAAAGCAUUAAUCUUAGAAACAGAAAAAGAAAAUCUCUGGGGCUCCUUUAAGCACUGCUGAAAGGUACUGCCGAGUGUGCUGUUCUGUGUUCUGUGCACGGAUUCAUGUGAUAGAUUCCUUUUAAAGGUUAUUAGGAGGGAGGAAGUAGAAGGUUGGCUUUCUUAAAGAAAGUAUCCGAUGCCUCAUUAUUUCUCUGUAUUUAUUGGCUCCCAGGAAGUUUCAAAUACAAACAAAUGUAUCAUGAAAAGAGAGUCUGAGGAAUUUCAGGCAGGUUCCAGAAGGGAUGUAGGGGUUCCGGCUCCUUUGUCCUCUCAGGCACUCAUCUAUUGAUUCAGUAGAUUUGGGCAAGGCUAGGAAUAGGAUGAAUCCUGAAAGAGAGAGAUUCCUAGAUUGCUACGGGAGGAAGGAAGACUGCCAGCUUUGCCUGGAUAUAGCAGGUAAGGUCUCUAUGAUAAACCGUCAAGGGCGAGCACAGAGGGUGGAGCUGUAAGACACACAGGAAGACGGAAUGGAGCAGGUUUCAUAGACUGCAGGUUAAGAAGCUGGAGGGAGAGCAGCCCCCAACCUCAACGACCUUGCCUAGGAAUUUGUGGUUUUUUCCCUCUGGAAUCUGUAUGGAUUUGAAAAUGUAGCAAGCAAGAUGACAGCAUGAAAGUGUCCUGGAAACAUGACAGGUGACAAUUUGCAAGAAGGACAAGUAAGAAGGCAAGGGGUCAUACAGGAAGUGGCUGGACCAUGCCAAGCCUACAAUGAAGGACAGAAAGGGAAACAAAACUGGAGAGGAAUAGAAUCAGUCAACAAAAUUUGCUUAACUGUUGGUGUGAGGGGAGCCACACCAAGGAAGCCACUCAACUUUGUUGCAGAGAAGACUGAAUCAUGAUGAAUAAGAGACUGUGGAAAGACAGGCCCUGAGAUUGCAUGAGUUGAGAGACGACGCAUUACAUUUUGGUUGUGUGGUGCCAAAGUACCUGAGGGAUAGACAGUUUUAGAAGCAGUUAGAUAUAAAUGUCUGGACCUUAGAAGAGAAAUCCGAACCUGGGAAAUACCAUUUCUGGAGAAAAGUAGCAAGUAUGAGGACGGAUUAUUGAUGGAGGGAACAGAGGUGACAAACACCAAGAAUAGAUGAAAAUACGGAAGACCUCAAGGGAUCUUCAGGAAGUAUGCGAGGAAAGAGAAGGAUUCAUAUAACAGCAAUGGUGGUCCAUACCAUCCUCUACCUUGCUUUCCAGCUGAUGGAGUUCUUAGAAAGUGAUUGGCCCCGAGGACUCUGAGUGGUGCAUGGAGUCAUAAUUUAAUGUUACUGCUAGAAGGUUGUAGAAAAAAGAGGUGGGGACAGCUAGUUGGAGGAAGUUAGUCACUGACUGGCAUGCCUUUGAAGAACAUCUCUUUCUCUGGGUCCCAUCUUCACGCUCUCAUUACCUCCCAUGAUGUAAGAACCUUUCUCAUCGUGCUUUAUCUGCCGAGAUGUUCUUCCUCACCUUAGGCUCAAAGCAAUGAAGCCUGCCUACUGCAGUCUGCAGCCAAGUGAGCCAAGACAAAUCUCUCCCCAAUUAGGUUGAAUUUAUCAGAUUUUGAUGCAGCAACAAUAAAACAACACCAAACUAAAAUCUUGAUAGCACAAAUGCUGAGUCUCCUACUCCAUACAUUCUUUCUGUCUGUUUUCCUAUGUAGUGGAAACCUCCUGACUGCACAAGCAGACCCCUAGGGGUUACUACCAAGCCCUCACAAGACUUCUAAAGGCUUUAGACUCCUUGUUGAUUAGUCAUUACCCUACCCCUGCCAUGUGCUUGCUUUAGUUAGGUACUGUCAAUUUUACACAGGUGCUGUUGGUAAUUCCCAGUUGGUUCUCUACCCUAGUCUUGCUGUUGAUGCAAAUUUUCUCACAUACUUUCUAUGCUAAAAACCACCCAGAAGAUCCUUUGUGUGUGUGUGUGUGUGUGUGUGUGUGUGUGUGUGUGUGUAUGCGUGUGUGUUUAUGUAGGUGCAGGAUAUGUGUAUGUGCUUAUGAGUGUGUAGAAGUUAAAGGUUGAUGUCAAUGGUCUUCUUCAAUUACUUUUCAGGUUUUGAGAGAAGGUCUCCCUUUGAGCCUGGAGCUCACUGUUUGGUUAGACAAUCUGACCAACAAGCCUCAGGGAUCCCCAUCUCUUCCUCUCCAGCACUGGGAUUACAGAUGCAUAUUACCAUAACUAUUCUUUUUUAUUAUUAUUAAUUUAUUUAUUAUUUUACAUCCCAAUAUCAGCCCCAUCUCUCCUCUUAGUAUCCCCUCAUACAGAUCCCUAUUCUUUCCUCCCAUUCUCCUUCGAGAUAUCACUCCCCUCCCCUACACAUUAAGUCACUGUAGGACUAGAGGAGAUCCUCUCCUACCGAGACCAGACAAAUCAGCUCAGUUAGGAGAACAGGAUCCACAGGCAGACAGACUGAUUCAGGGACAUCCCCUGCUCCAGUUGUUGGGGAACCCUUGUGAAAACCAAGCUGCACUUCUGUUACACAUGUGUGUAGGGGUGGGAUGGGGAAUUGGGAGGGGAGAGAACAGCAGGAGGAGUGGGGUCACGGAUGAGCUCCAGCCCAAGCUUGCUCUUUGAUUGGUGGUUUAGUCCCUGGUAGGCCCCAAGGGGUCCAGGUUAGUUGACUCUGUUAAUCUUCCUAUGGAGUCCCUGUCCUCUUCUCCCAACUUUUCCACAAGAUUCCUUGAACUCCAUUCAGUGCUUGACUGUGAGUCUCUGCCUGUGUUUCCUUUGGCUGCUGGGUAGAACCUUUCAGAGGACAGUUAUGCUUUUUUUUUUUUUUACAUUGGUGCAAGAGGUUGAACAUGGGUCCUCAUGCAUUUAUGACAAAUAUUUUACAUACUGAAUUAUUUUCCCAACCUAGUUCCUACCUGCUAAAAUUCUUUUAAAAUCGUGUGUGUGUGUGUGUGUGUGUGUGUGUGUGUGUGUGUGUGUGUGUGUGUUAGAGUGUGGUCUGGCUUUAUGUGGAUUCUGAGGAUAUGAACUCAGUCCCUUAGCCACACUUUAUCCACAAACACUUUAUCCACAGAGCCAUCUCUCCAUUCCAAUUACUACAGCUUUGGCUUUGAAGUUUGUCAUUUCAAACUUAAGUAGGCAUAUCAAUAUCAUACUUUUCGCAAACUAUAAAGAAAGAUCAUUCUACCCCUCAGCUUAAUUACAUCACUUGGUUCUAUUCCUCCAGCAUAGACUCCAGCAUUGACCUUGGACUAGGGAUGGCAGGAGAUGUCCCACUGACUCAAACUCAGAAGGAAAACCAGCACACGUCAUGACAUUAAACUCUACCACAUACCACAUUCUGUUUCGUCCAAGCAUGUGGGGGUCAAGAAACCACAGGCUGAGAUAUCUAGAAUGAAGCUACAAUGAUAAGAUAAAAAGCAUCUCAGAGGAAGAAGGGUUUGGUUGAGCUCAUCGUUUGAGUUACAGUCCAUCACAGCAGAGAAGUCAGGCAGCAUGAAGCCGCUGCUCACAGAGGAAGGAUGCAUGCAUGCUGUUGCUCAGCUUGUUUUCUCUAUUUGUGCAAUCUAGGCUCCCCUUUAAAGGUAAUGACUCCACCCAAAAUUAAGAUGAGUCUUUACACAUCAGGUUAAUCAAGAUAAUCCCCCGGUGGUUAAGCCUGCUCAUUAACGUCCCAAGUGAUUCUAGCUUCGGUCAAGUUGACAACACUAACCAUCCCAAUAUCAAUAAUUCAGAAGUUGAUGAGAUUCAAUUCUAGAGCACAUUACAAUGAAUAAUAGGUGAAAAUAUGAGGCAUGUAGACAGAUGACAAAUACAUUUAAAAAGUUCAAAAAGCAAACUCCUAAACUCAAGGACAACGUGUGCAAGGGUUUAUAUUUUUUGAAUGAGUUUGUCUGCAGAAUGGGUAAAUUAGCUUCCUUUAUUAAAAGAGAGCUCUCCCAAAUUAACUUUGGAGACUAAAUCCCAAACUGCAGAUAAUUGAAAAUAAAGGUUAAAAAUAAACGUGCUGAUACAGCAGUCUCUCAAAACAGAAGGCACCAUCUCUGCACAAUUACAACUGGGUUCACCAAAUGGAAAACUAAAAAAAGGAAGUGUCUGUUAUAACAUUCUAGAAACAAAUAUUUUUAGCAGGGCCCUUUACACAUAAAGACAAAGGUGGUACAACGCUACAAUUCUAGUCCCUGGAUAGUAGAGGCAAGAGGGUCAGAACCGUGAGGUCAUCCUUGCAUGUAUAGUUUGAGGCCAGCAACAUGAGAUUCUGAUAAAAAAAAAAAGAGGGGGGAGCAUAUGUAUCCUAAGUUAUCUUAUAGUUAUUGUAAUAGUUAAAAAUAGUUAAAAAGAGGCUAUAUUUUCUAUGAAGAUUUUACCUUUUCUUUUCUUGUUAGAGGCAGAAUCAUCUCAAUAGAAAAUUAGCAGUCACAGGGUAAUGUUCAAUUUCACUAAAUUAUGGAACAAUUCUGGUCCUCUGUGUUAUAAGGAGCCUUUAAUGCCGUUGCUGCAGGACAAUCAGAGAUUUUUCCAGUUCUUGGCACUUGAAUUGCAAAGAAGAAUAUUAAUAAGAUAAAAUCCUAGGGUGGAAAAAAUCUUUCAACUCUGAAACUCUAUGCCUGGAAGAAUCAUAAGAUAGCAUUUUCUCAUAAAGUCCCUUUGCUUUAGAAGAUCCACAAUCCUGAUUAUUAUUCAAACCUAAUUUCAGCUCAGAAAACUUAAGUAAAGGGCAAUCUUCAAGUUCUGAGGAUUAUAAAAGAUGACAGCACGUAUGUACUUUUGAUAAAAAGGGAGGGGAGGGAUGGUGAGCAGCAGGAGCAGUAGCUGCUCACCAGAAGAUAGCUCAAAGCAGCCAUCAGUCAGAGCGACAGAGAGUCACAGCAAACCUCUGUGCUAGAUUUCUGGGCAAUAACACCAUUAUUUAAAUGCUGUCCAGUUAGAAAACAUUGCUGUACCAUAAAAAGACAUUAUGACAUCCUUACUUUAUUAUUACUCUAGAAUUGUCAUUUUAUAUUUAUGCACUUAUAAAGGUGAUCAAAUUAUACAUUGUCCUUCUUAGGGUUUAAAAUGGGUUACAUUCAUUUUAUUGGUUCAAUAAGUAUUUGUUGAAUUGGCUAUUUACUGGGCACUAUGCUAGAUUGAAGGACUGUUUAAAAAGAUUGAGGCUUGAUCCCUGAUCUUCAGUGGCUUAAGAGGCAGUGGGUAUAAGCUUUGGAUGUAUGAUUACAGACACCUGUUGGGACUCUUGGGCUCCCUAAGGAUGACUUUCUUGUAGAUAGUUGGAUAAUCUUACUUUGAAGAUAGAGCUUGCUAUACUUAUCCAUUCAUUUGCUCAUUCAACAUAUUUGUGUUAUGUGCUCACUCUGGGACAGUCAUCUCCCUCCUUGUGGGAUGAUGUCACAGGUGAGGCAGGUUCAAGAUAGAAAGAGGCCUGUCAUUGGACGAGAAGGAAGGAUGGG
rnacentral:sRNA from 1 species